rnacentral:rRNA from 1 species
CCUACGGGGGGCAGCAGUGGGGAAUAUUGGACAAUGGGGGGAACCCUGAUCCAGCCAUGCCGCGUGUGUGAAGAAGGCCCUCGGGUUGUAAAGCACUUUCAGUGAGGAAGAACGCCUGGUGGUUAAUACCCAUCAGGAAAGACAUCACUCACAGAAGAAGCACCGGCUAACUCCGUGCCAGCAGCCGCGGUAAUACGGAGGGUGCGAGCGUUAAUCGGAAUUACUGGGCGUAAAGCGCGCGUAGGUGGCUUGAUAAGCCGGUUGUGAAAGCCCCGGGCUCAACCUGGGAACGGCAUCCGGAACUGUCAAGCUAGAGUGCAGGAGAGGAAGGUAGAAUUCCCGGUGUAGCGGUGAAAUGCGUAGAGAUCGGGAGGAAUACCAGUGGCGAAGACGGCCUUCUGGACUGACACUGACACUGAGGUGCGAAAGCGUGGGUAGCAAACAGGAUUAGAUACCCUGGUAGUC